GUUGGCCUAGACGUGCUUCUCCCUCAGUAGCUGGAUUCUAUCUUUAGCUUCGUCCCCUUUAAAUCCCUUUGCACCCCUCUGGCAAAACACAGCGCAGUUGCAAAUGCUUCCGGAUUGCUGACCACUGAAUCCUAUCCAUAUCUGGAGAGUCAGCUGGGAAAUUCCCAUCACAGAAAGGAGCCAGCAGAGACCCAGGAAGGGCAGUGGACGUGGCCGAGGCCCCUGGAGAGCCUGGAUGUAAACCCCUGGAGCUCCAGAUGCUGUGACCUGGGAGACCCCUGAUGGAUGUAUGGAAGGUCCCUACAUGUGCCAAAGGAAAACAAGAGUGUGGCAGGCAGGUAGGUGGCAGCCUCCGAUCGCCAAGAGACAGGUGACCUUGAACUUGGAGCAAGAAUGCCAUGCUGGCAUCCAUCAUAACCACAAUACCUGAGAAUUCCCUGGUGGUCCAGUGGCUAGGACUCGGUACUUCCACUGUGAGGGCCUGGGUUCAAUCCCUGGUUGCGGAACUAAGAUCUUACAAGCCUCUCAGCGUGGCCAAAAUCCCCAAUCCCACCCCCCCAAAACUAAAACAAAAAAACAAACCAGAGUGACAACAGGCAGCACUCAUAUGCUGCUUGCUGUCCACAUCGUUCUUCUUGUUCAACUCUCCAACGACAACCCUGUGAGGUCAAUAUUAAAGCUCUCCAUUUUGCAGGUGAGCUGGGUUGGGAAUCCACCUUCCAAUGCAGGGGACGUGGGUUCGAUCUCUGGAUGGGGAACCAGGAUUCCACAUGCCGUGGGGCAACUAAGCCCAUGUGCCACGACUAAGACCUGACGCAGCCAAAACAGUGAUUCCAUCUGAGGAUUACUAGCCGACGGUCUCUCCGUCUUUGCAAGGUACUCUGGGACAGCCUGACUCAGUGGUUCUCAACGGUGGGCGGUUCUGCCCCCCAGGGGGCAUCUGUCAAUGUCUGGGGACAGUUCCA